rnacentral:rRNA from 1 species
UACGUAGGGUGCGAGCGUUGUCCGGAAUUAUUGGGCGUAAAGGGCUCGUAGGCGGUUUGUCGCGUCGGGAGUGAAAUCAUCUGGCUUAACUGGGUGCUUGCUUUCGAUACGGGCAGACUAGAGGUAUGCAGGGGAGAACGGAAUUCCUGGUGUAGCGGUGAAAUGCGCAGAUAUCAGGAGGAACACCGGUGGCGAAGGCGGGUCUCUGGGCAACAACUGACGCUGAGGAGCGAAAGCGUGGGGAGCGAACAGG